AGCUUCAGGGAGCAAGGUCAGAGUUAGUUGGGAGUCCACACGGUGGGCUUCGGAAGUACCGAAAGGUUCCUAGCCCAACACUGUCCUCACAUUCUUCCAGCUGUCACCUCAUUCACGGGACACUGGCUAGUGGGGCCUCCUGCAAAAUAGAGCAGACAGAGCACAACCCAUGGACAUGAUUAGAUUUACAGUUAAAGCUGGGCAGUGGUGGCGCCCACUUUAAUCCUAGUGCUUAGGCAGAAGCAGAGGCAGGCAGAUCUCUUGAGUUUGAGGUCAGCCUGGUGUCCAGAGUGAGUUCCAGGACAGCCAGUGCUAUACAGAGAAACCCUGUCUGGAAAAACAAACAAACAAAAAAAGCAUUUAAAAAGGGAGUAUUUUGGGGCAAGCGCUCUACCUCUGAGCCAAAUCCCCAACCCCUCCCAGCAAGAGCUUUAAAGCACUCUCCACUGCUAAGCCAUCUCUCCAGCCCCAGGUUUGCAUUUUUGUGAGCUAAAGGCACCACUGGCUUGCGUUCAGGAUGAAUUGGAAGGGAGUGACGAAGGUGGGAUGCCCACUGAGGGAUAGUUGGGAUUGAGGAGAGGCAAAUUCACACUUCCCCACAAGCUGGAUGUUUGGAAUAAAGAAAAGGCCUUCGAGGAUUUGCUGACCUGGGUAGCAGGGUGCCCACGAGUCUGGUGGGCCUUUCUCUGUAAGCUUCUUGAAGGCAAGACCCAUGCCUCUUGGACAUCAUCCUGUUCAGUGACCAGUUCUAGAUAGAUGGUUAAACAGAGGAAGCCAUGACAGAGAUCGAUCUGGAGGCUGUAAGGAGGCUCAGCAGGUAAAUGCGUUCGCUGCCUGACAGCCUCAGUUCCAUUCCCAGAACCCAGUGGUAAAUGUGGAAGCAGAGAAUUGACUCCACAGAGUUGUCCUCUGACCUCCGCCCAACCACACACAAUUAUAACAAAUACAUUUUUUUUUUUAAAAAAAGAACUGGAUCUGAUCUAGAUGGAGAGUACAGUGGAUGCUGUGAGUAGUCAUACUUGGUGAAAUGGGCAGCGGGGUCGGCAGGGAAAUUCAGCUAGGGAGAAUGGGUUUUAGGAUACCAUGCAUCCUGUCUGUCCUCAGGUGAGGGGACUGGUUUGCUGAAAAGUCCAGAAGAGGUCGGGAAAGAAGAGCCCUUUGUGCUCUGGGAUGCUGCUUGUUAAUGGCUUGUCUGGAGGGUGGAGAUGGGGUGUGUGUGGGGCCCCGCUCCUGGAGGCUGAGUUAAUUUGGGGGUAGAGAAAGCUGCUUUGAGAGUCUAUAGACCAGGAAGGCCUGAUGUGACCAUCAGGCAGGUCAGGCUAGGACUGCCUGUGGUUGAAGGUGUGAGCGAUUCUUAGGGGAUUGGGUACUAGGGCUAGGUCAGCCUGUAGGCUGAGUGCUUGUCAUCUGCC
rnacentral:lncRNA from 1 species